CAUUUAUCAAUAUGUAAAAGUUGUUACGUAAUUAAUCAUGUGACAUGUGUCACAUGACUUUGUAUAUAAGUAUUUGGACACCUAGUAUUAUUACUACUGCAUAAAAACAUAACAUGGUAGCAGCGGUGGGAUAGAAAGAUAUAAGGAGAUCUAAGGAAUAAGACAAAGCUAGAUGGCAGUCGAACAAGCGACAAACGCUCCAAUCAUACAUGGGAUUCAACCGCCAACGGGUUUGGAUCUGAAAUCAAGAAAUAAAGCCGAGAAUUGGAAGGCAUAUAAACAACGCUGGGAGAACUACAUAAUUGUGACACAGCUAGACAAACAACCAGAAGAAUAUCGAGUCGCAUUAUUCCUAUACUGCAUAGGACAAGAAGCCGUGAAAGUCUACAAUAGUUUCGAUCUAGCGCCCGAGGACAAACGCAAGUUGGUAAAGAUUAUUGACGAGUUUGACAAGUAUGCGAUUGGCCAAGUUAAUGAAACGUAUGAAAGAUACAAUUUCAACAGCCGUGCCCAACAAAACGGGGAAACUAUUGAUGAGUACGUCGCUAAACUAAAAGCAUUGGCACAAACAUGUGGUUUCUGUGUUUGCCUGCACGAUUCACUUAUUCGCGAUAGAAUUGUGCUGGGGGUAGCCCAUGCUAGUACACGGAAACGACUGCUACAACAUUCGAAA